AUUGAACGCUGGCGGAAUGCUUUACACAUGCAAGUCGAACGGUAGAGGGGGCAACCCCUCGAGAGUGGCGAACGGGUGAGUAAUAUAUCGGAACGUGCCCAGUCGUGGGGGAUAACGUAGCGAAAGUUACGCUAAUACCGCAUACGAUCUAAGGAUGAAAGCGGGGGAUCGCAAGACCUCGCGCGAUUGGAGCGGCCGAUAUCAGAUUGGGUAGUUGGUGGGGUAAAGGCUCACCAAGCCAACGAUCUGUAGCUGGUCUGAGAGGACGACCAGCCACAUUGGAACUGAGACACGGUCCAGACUCCUACGGGAGGCAGCAGUGGGGAAUUUUGGACAAUGGACGCAAGUCUGAUCCAGCCAUUCCGCGUGCAGGAUGAAGGCCCUCGGGUUGUAAACUGCUUUUGUACGGAACGAAAAGGUCUCUCUUAAUACGGGGGGCUCAUGACGGUACCGUAAGAAUAAGCACCGGCUAACUACGUGCCAGCAGCCGCCGUAA
rnacentral:rRNA from 1 species